rfam:Otolemur garnettii contig090497, whole genome shotgun sequence.
GCAGUGCCCUACAUGGAAAGGGACCAGUCACUGAGUCUGUAACUGGGUCCUUUCUGAGUGGAGUAAGGCU